rnacentral:lncRNA from 1 species
AAAUAUUUUUUAUUUCAGAUAUCUUCUCAUCUAAUAGAAUAUUUAGCCACUUGAUAAAAUUCCGAUAACAUGCUGAUAUUUGAGAAUUAAAUAGAAAAGUGGCCAUUUUAGACACCUAUUAUCUGAAACUGAUUGGUGUUAACAGCGCAUCACACUGAUACCAAACGAAUUUAUCCAAUUUUAUUUGGAAAAAAUUUAAUAUGGAUUAGAUUCAAAAAUUUUAUUUUUUGGUUAUGUUAAUCUGCGUAAACGUAAUGGGAAUUAUAUGUAAUAUGAUGAAUUUUAUUAUUUGAAAUUAUGGAAAAAAAUGAUUAUUCUAUAUCAAAAUGUUCGGUCACUUAAGAGAAAAUCAUCGGAUCUCCAGAAAGUCUUGAACAAACGUUUCGAUGUUCUUUGUUUAUCAGAAACGUGGUUGGAAACACAUUCUACCAUUCAUAACGUUUUCGAUCGGUUUGGUUACGACCUGUUUUCUGCACCGAGAGAUUAUUGUAAAGGAGGAGGAGUACUUAUUGCCAAAAAAAGGACUUAAACGCUAAACGAAACUUUUCUAAAGAAGACUAUUUCAUAUCUGUUCAAAUAGAUAAGCAUAGUUUACUGUUAGUAUGCUGCUACGCACCCAAACGAUGGUGCCCUUACAUAUUCCCUUCUCUUCGUCGCUACUUAAAAAGAGUUAGGGGAUUAUUCGAAAAUUUAAUAAUCUGUGGAGACUUUAACACUUGCCACAUCGAAUGGUUUGGAUAUCUUCCUCAAUAUUCUUACCUUAAUCAGGCAGAAAAAUAUCUUUUGUACAAAAUUUACUAUUUCUUUGAAUUUAUUCAAAAGGUCGAUUUUCCCACGCGUCAAAGCAAUUUUCUCGAUCUAGUAUUUACUAAUUGUAAACGCCUGAAUACUUCGUCUUGUACCGCCUUUGCAUCCGAUCACAUGGCAAUAUUAAUCUCUAUCGACUUUAAAACUUACAUAUGCGAUACUUACCUACCCGUUACUAAUAAAAUUAAUCGGAAAAGAGGAGAUUUGGCCAGUAUAUUCCAUUCUGUAGUUAAUUUCGAUUGGUCGUUGUUUAUCAACAAUUUUUCAGCUCA